rnacentral:rRNA from 1 species
GGUUACUGCUAUCGGAGUUCGAUUAAGCCAUGCGAGUCUAAAGGUUUCUUCGGAAACCUUGGCGGACUGCUCAGUAACACGUGGAUAACCUACCCUUGGGACUGGGAUAACCCCGGGAAACUGGGGAUAAUACCGGAUAGAUCAGGGAUGCUGGAAUGCACCUUGAUCCAAAGCUCCGGCGCCCAAGGAUGGGUCUGCGGCCUAUCAGGUAGUAGUGGGUGUAACGUACCUACUAGCCAACGACGGGUACGGGUUGUGAGAGCAAGAGCCCGGAGAUGGAUUCUGAGACACGAAUCCAGGCCCUACGGGGUGCAGCAGGCGCGAAACCUUUACAAUGUGCGAAAGCAUGAUAAGGGAACUCCGAGUGCCAGCAUCUAAUGUUGGCUGUCCUUGUGCCUAAAACGCACAAGACAGCAAGGGCCGGGUAAGACCGGUGCCAGCCGCCGCGGUAACACCGGCGGCCCGAGUGGUAGCCGCUAUUAUUGGGUCUAAAGGGUCCGUAGCCGGUUCGAUAAGUCCUCUGGGAAAUCUGGUUGCUUAACAAUCAGACUGCCAAGGGAUACUGUCGAACUUGAGACCGGGAGAGGUAAGAGGUACUUCAGGGGUAGGAGUGAAAUCUUGUAAUCCCUGGGGGACCAUCUGUGGCGAAGGCGUCUUACCAGAACGGGUCUGACGGUGAGGGACGAAAGCUGGGGGCGCAAACCGGAUUAGAUACCCGGGUAGUCCCAGCCGUAAACGAUGCUCGCUAUGUGUCAGGUACGGUGUGACCGUAUCUGGUGCCGUAGGGAAGCCGUGAAGCGAGCCACCUGGGAAGUACGGCCGCAAGGCUGAAACUUAAAGGAAUUGGCGGGGGAGCACUACAACGGGUGGAGCCUGCGGUUUA